rnacentral:tRNA from 1 species
CCAUGGUUCAAUGGUAGAACGUUAGCUUCCCAAGCUGAAUACGCGGGUUCGAUUCCCGUUGGAU